GGCUGAAAGCAAAGCCAAUGCAGAAGUGCCAAAAGCUGCAGUUGAUUUAAUGGCCACUUGAGACCAACUCCAAAAGAGAACCAGUUUGGACCCACUGGAGGUGAUUUAUCCGUCGCACUCCCAUGGGUACCUCUGAAAUAAAUGGAUUAACCACUGAACACUCAAGCCAUGAGAAGAAAAUGGAGUUUUGCAGGUUGCAGCCUGUUCUGGUUACCAGGGUUGACACUGAUUGGCUGAACCACCGAGAGCAGUUUUCUAGCUUAGAUUGUUUCCACUUAAUGCAUAUUGAGGUAUAUUUGGUGUUUGAACUAUUAGAAUAGGCAGUUACGUGUAUUUAGAUGGGGUAUCAAGUAUUGGUAGAUUUCAGCUAUGUGUGGGUGGACGUGACCCUAACAUCUUAUCCCCUGGAUAGAUGGACUACUGGAUGAGGCAGAUAGGUGGGUUGCCAUGUUGGAACCUACUGCUUUGUAUAAUAAUGUGUAUAAAAAACAAACUAACUCUUUUGCUGUUGAGUCGAGUGUGUUCUCCUCUGUUUUACAUUAUACUUUGUGACAAAAAGAUAACUAAUAUUGUAUUACAGAGUCAUAACAGUUUGGUGAACUGACUUUUCUUUCUCCAAUAGUUCCAUGUUUUUAUUUACAGCUUGUUAGGAUAUUAUGCUGCAAAUGUCAGACAUUCACGGUGGAUAUUAAUAAUAUACCUGACCAACUGGAAAGGGAAUGACAUCAUGGAGAGUGAUGGGAUGUGAUGUAAUGAUAAGGAAAGUGUCACUAUGGGUUGACCAUAUUUCAUAUCAUCAUCUGGAUUCUCAACAGAAGUAUAGUAAUUAUUAUUGGGGCCUGCCACAGCAGAGCAUAGGAGAGCAUUGAAAUGCCUUUGUUACCUUUCUGCA